GUAGACAUGCAUUUGGAAGAAAUUCUCCACCAGAUGAUUAUGUCAGUCUUUCGAAACAAGUAGUUUCUACUACUGGAGGACUUCCCUUGGCUCUCGAAGUCAUAGGCUCAUUACUUCGCCGCCAAAACAAAGGCUUAUGGAUAGGUGUACUGCACAACCUAAGGGAAAUAACUCAUGAGAAGGUCCAAGAAACGUUAAAGAUUUGCUACAAUGCCUUGAAUCAUGAGCAAAAACAGAUAUUUCUUGACAUUGCAUGUCUUUUUGUGGAUGAAGACAAGACAAAUGCAUUCUACAUGUGGAAAGAUUGUGGGUUCUUACCAGAUUAUUCAACUCAAGCCCUUGUCUGCAUGUCCUUGAUAAAGAUAACUGAUGACAACAAAUUCUGGAUGCAUGACCAAUUGAGAGAUCUCGGGAGGAAAAUCAUCUGUGAAGAUACAGGGCUGAUGGAUCCAAGAAAGCAGAGCAGGUUGUGGAUUCCUGAGACAGCCGUUAAAAUCAUUAGAACAGAAGAGGUGAGACCAUAUGUUUGACUGUCGAAUUCCAUGCUUCUCUUGAUGGUUCAUUUAUUAAUUGGGAGCCCUUUUUAAUAGGGAGAGAGAGGAUGAAGACUAUUUUCAUUUAUUCUUAUGCUACCUUACCAUUGAAUGACAGAGAAAGGAGACCAUUGAAGCAGUUUGCUUGGAUGGAAAUGCACAAGAAAUCUAUAAAAGCGAAGAGUUUUCAAGGGUUCCGAACAUAAGGUUCCUCAAAUUACGUGGGGGAUAUUUUGUUGGAGACUUUAAGAAGCAGCUUUCAAGGUUAAGAUACUUGUCCUGGAAUAGGUGUCCUCAUGAGCUCUUGGCCAUCAAUUUUCAUCCAAGAAAUCUUGUAGUUCUCAACUUGUCUUUUAGUGCCAUCACGGAGGACUGGGCUGGAUGGAGUCAAAUCAAGGUAUAUUAUGUUGCUAUUUGUUUAUCUAGAUCUCAAUUGGAUAUCUCUCAUAGAGUUUUUUUAUUUUAAUACACGUUGUAAAUAAAAUAAGUCGUGAAUGAAGCAGUCAAGCCCUUUCACAACUAACACUAAGCUGGUCUCAUAAUCAAGGCCAUUUUCGAUUAUUACAUAUUCUGGGGAAGAAGUUGAAUUGUGGAUAUGUGUGAAUCAAGUUGGAUAGGAGUUCAUACUAAAAUGAUUGGGUCUGGGAUUUAAAAGGAAAAAAAUGAGUCAACCCAACUACAACUCAGUUCCAACAUAACCAUUCAUUGCCUCUAAAUUUGCAUGGAAUUUCCCCAUUACUCUCUUUUGACUAUUGUAACAGGUUGCCAAGAAGCUGAAAGUUCUGGAUCUCACAAACUGCAACAACAUGACCAGGACUCCAAACUUUUCUGGUUAUUUGAGUUUAGAGAGAUUGAUCCUAAAAAAUUGCAGAAGACUCAUUGACGUUGAUGGUUCCCUCGAAAAGCUCAAGUGCCUAAUUUUCUUCAAUGUGGAUGGGUGUACGAAUCUUACAGAGUUGUCCGAAGGAAUCGGACAGUUAGAGAAACUUGAGUACUUGUAUUUAGGCAACUGCAGAAAGUUGAGGAAGCUACCUGAAUCAUUUGCAAGAGUGGCAUCACUGGUAGAGUUGGAUCUCUCAUAUACAGCCAUCACGAGAUUACCUGUCUCCAUUGGUAACCAAAAGCGCUUAUCCAUUCUUAAACUGCAAUCAACACAAAUCGAUGAACUUCCUAGUUCUAUUGGAAAUCUAAGGGAACUUAAGUCUCUCUUUCUAUCGGGUACUAAAAUAAAGGCACUUCCUAUCUCCAUUGGGAACUUGGAAUCGCUACUCGAGUUGGAUGUCUCGGGAACACGAUGUUUGCGGUUACCCGAAUCUAUUGGAGGCCUAAGUAGAUUGAAAGUCAUCAAUAUUUCAAAUUCUUGCAUAAGGGAGUUACCGAGGAGUAUUGUCAUGCUAAAAGACUUGGAAGAGCUACAUGGCAGGGAUUGCUCGUCUCUAAAGUGGGAAAUUCCUGAGGGCAUUUCCGAAUUAUUGCUUUUGAGAGUCCUUGACUUGCAAGCAACUCGUAUUAGAAAUGUUCCAGCGACGAUCCAACUACUUCCUCAGCUAGAGAAAUUGAAUUUAUGGCAAUGCAAGAAACUCGAAGUAUUGCCUACGCUUCCCACAAGCUUGAUAAGCCUAAGCUUUGGAUCCAGUUUGCUCCAAUAUGUCCCGGAUCUUUCAAACCUAACUGAAUUGGCAGAAUUGAGCUAUGGUGGUCAUGAUGAGAGCUGUCAUCCUUUUUUCUUCCAAGAUGGACCAUGCCGACAAUCUCUUGUGUUCCUUCCACCAUCUCUGUCAAUAUUGUCACUCGAAUAUCACAAAUUAAUAACCAGUCUGUCAUUUCAUUGCGACUUGAGAAACUUGACUCGUUUGCGUAUUUAUCAAUGUUGUUGGAAGGAAGUUCAACUCGAUGGGCUUGAACAGUUGAUUGAAUUCGAAGUGGAGGGGCUAAAACUCCUCGAGAGAUUUUCUGGCCUUUCGAGGUUGAAGAGGUUGAAACUGUGGAAGCUGAUUGGUUGCCCAAAUCUAACUGCGAUCCAAGGUCUUGGUUCCAUGGAGUCGUUGGAACAAUUGGAAAUAAAAGAAUGUCCUAAAAUUGAAAGUCUAGAUGACCUAUUGAAUUUGAAAAAGCUGGAGUACUUGGCAAUUCGAGGAUGCGAAGUGCUUCCAGUGGUUAAGGGACUGGAUGAACUAGAGACUCUCAAAAGAUUGGAUUUUAACCGUUGCAGGUCAUUGGAAAGUUUCACUAAUGUCUUCAACUCAAAAAUACGAGACAGGUGCCGCAUAACCAUUUUCAACUGCUCAAAGUUAGUAGAUCCUUCGUAUGGAGGCCUGGUCAGCUCGUACAAGCAAUGGAAAGCCCAAGAAGUGUCCAACAGGGUUCGUAAUCAGUCCAGCCAGAAUUAACUGAGAAAUCUUUCUGUGGACGUUUGAAGCAAAUAAGAUCUACCCAAGCGAAGAAAUGAUUGAUCCGAAGAUCGGUGAUACUUGGAUGUUUCUUACUAGUUAUCUCCUGGGAAGUGGUUUUCAGGAUAGACUCCAUAAUUUGCGAUCUGUCUUUAAUCAUGAGUGUUCAUCAUAAUUUGGUGUGUUGUCCUUUCCUUUGAGUUUGCACUAUGUGCAUUUUCGGUCGAUCAAACCAGGCAUUUGUUGACAUUUUCAUUCAUAGAUUGCUUGUCAUCCUAUUAUCAUUUUUGUGAAAAUUAUGUAAUGCUUUCAACAAUGUUUUCAGUUUUCACCGCCUAGAAAGGCAUGUACAAGUCUUUUAAAGGCUAAAAAUUCAAAUUUAAUUGAUGAGAAUCGAGCAACAUUUUAUUUAUAUCUUCACUAUUUUCUCAGAAAUAUCUUCAAUUGUGGUAUGUCAGCAAAAAUCAAGGACAAUAUCAGUUCUGUCGGUCAAUACCAUAUUUGAUGACUGCAGACAAUGGGAACAUCAUGAUCAAUCCUUUCCAAGAACUUCUCUAGGUGCAUCCUAAAUACUCACGCAUGGUUAUUUGCGAAAGCACAACUCAAUCAAACAUGAUAAAAAUCAAAUCGGCAAAAUCAAAGUCGAACCGAAAAAAUCAGACCAUCUAAAUUGAAGGACUCUAUAGAACAGAGUGGUCGUCAUGUUGCAAGGUCAGUGUCUCAAGCAAUAACAUUCAAGUCGGACUAGUAACUUCCUAAUUGAUCAAUGGUGAGAGUAAAUCAAUAUGGAGGUCAGUGAGGUAAAUCAUCGAACAGGUGACAUACAUUACAGUCGAGGGGCUUCGGCGCACAUUUAAAGAAAUGAUUCACUUUUAGAUCAUCAAAUCAACAACAAUUAAAGUUCAAAUUAUCAAAAACAACUUCAAUCGCAGUUCUCUAUAUAGCUCUCAGCCUCUGCUUCGCGUGAAGAGCAACGGAAACGGAGCAUAGACGAUAAUUACCUUGAAAUCGCUGACGUCCACCGCGGAGAGCGAUCGGAUCAAAGGGAGUCAUCAUCCAUGACGACGAGGCUGAAGAUCAGAGAUGACGACCGAUGAACGAAUAAUCUUCAAGCACUUCAGACUCCCUGGCCGAGAAACAGGGGCGAACAGAGGAAUUACCACCGUGGCCGAACCGGCGAUGGCGGAACGGCUACGGCGGAGGUUGCUGGCGGAUACGGAAUCACUGGAC
rnacentral:lncRNA from 1 species